rnacentral:lncRNA from 1 species
AAAGAACUCAAACUAUAAAACUCUUGGAAGACAACGAGGAAAGCUUCAUGAGAUUGGAUUCAGCAGUGACUUCUUAGAUAUGACACCAAAAGCACAGACGACAAAAGAUCAAAUAGAUGAAGAAACCAAGAAACUGUUCUGCAGGCUCAGAGACCAAGAACUCAGUGACUUGGCUGUAGCCUCGACACCCUCCACUGGGACAACACACCCACAGUGAAUCCUGAGCUUGAAAACUUCAGUCAGAGGCUGGGUGUUAAAGGUGAGGCAAUGAUUAUUUAAAUGCAGAUGACGUGGCGGGAUGAUGUUUCCAGGGAAACAGGUCUCCUUGGAGAAGAGGCUGAUUUCAGGUCUGACACACGUCCAGAGUACUGAAAGUACGAGAUAAGCCUAAGAUAUCUUGGGCCAAAAACGCCAAGAAGUGCUCAAAGCUAAACAAGGACAAGUUCAAUGAAGACAGAAGCUGGUCUGAAGGGUUCCUGGCCAAUCUGUGAACGAUUUUAAAUAUCAGAAAGAAUGACAUCGAUGGAUUAAAACACAUGGUUUCCAGGAAAGCAGCAACUGCUGUAGAAUAGAACCACAGCUAGGAGUAUAAUUAUUGUGUAUAGUGGUGUAAUUAUGAUGAUGCUGCUGAGGAAACGCAAGAGUUACUGCUUUGGAAGUCCCCCUAACCACAGGAGCCACCAAUGUUAAAAUGCAUUCCUUCUGGAAAAGUCAAAUG